rnacentral:rRNA from 1 species
UAGCCGACCUGAGCCAUGAUCAAACUCUACUGGGACUGAGACACGGCCCAGACUCCUACGGGAGGCAGCAGUAGGGAAUCUUCGGCAAUGGACGAAAGUCUGACCGAGCAACGCCGCGUGAGUGAAGAAGGUUUUCGGAUCGUAAAACUCUGUUGUUAGAGAAGAACAAGGACGUUAGUAACUGAACGUCCCCUGACGGUAUCUAACCAGAAAGCCACGGCUAACUACGUGCCAGCAGCCGCGGUAAUACGUAGGUGGCAAGCGUUGUCCGGAUUUAUUGGGCGUUAAAGCGAGCGCAGGCGGUUUCUUAAGUCUGAUGUGAAAGCCCCCGGCUCAACCGGGGAGGGUCAUUGGAAACUGGGGAGACUUGAAGUGCAGAAGAGAGGAGU